rnacentral:tmRNA from 1 species
GGGGGCGUAAAGGUUUCGACGGGGAUGAUGCAGUACGAAUAGCGAGUAGAGCUGGAGAAAUCUCUAAAAAGUCUCAGUUUAAGAAAUUAAACGCGAACAAUAACGUAAAAACUGUCAACUUUAACAGAGUGGCGGUUGCUGCCUAAUUAAAGACAGCUGUCCGGCCGGGGAGGACCACGACCUCGGUUUGGGCAUCAUUUAGUGGUGAACGACAGUGCGGGCGCGUCCCGGCCCCACUGUUGUAUUAGGGACUACGGAUGUUGGCAGCCUGUUUACCGGCGGCUAGCAGACGGAAUGUGAAAAGAUAAACUGCACUCGGAGAAGUUCGUAUGAAUUGAUUUUCGGACAGGGGUUCAACUCCCCUCGCCUCCACCA